rnacentral:rRNA from 1 species
UCCAGACUCCUACGGGAGGCAGCAGUGGGGAAUAUUGCACAAUGGGGGAAACCCUGAUGCAGCGACGCCGCGUGAGCGAAGAAGUAUUUCGGUAUGUAAAGCUCUAUCAGCAGGGAAGAAAAAAAUGACGGUACCUGAGUAAGAAGCACCGGCUAAAUACGUGCCAGCAGCCGCGGUAAUACGUAUGGUGCAAGCGUUAUCCGGAUUUACUGGGUGUAAAGGGAGCGUAGGCGGCGCGUUAAGUCUGAUGUGAAAACCCGAGGCUCAACCACGGGAGUGCAUUGGAAACUGGCGGGCUGGAGUGCCGGAGAGGUAAGCGGAAUUCCUAGUGUAGCGGUGAAAUGCGUAGAUAUUAGGAGGAACACCAGUGGCGAAGGCGGCUUACUGGACGGCAACUGACGCUGAGGCUCGAAAGCGUGGGGAGCAAACAGGAUUAGAUACCCGGGUACA